UGGGGAAUCUUCCGCAAUGGACGAAAGUCUGACGGAGCAACGCCGCGUGAGUGAUGACGGCCUUCGGGUUGUAAAGCUCUGUUAAUCGGGACGAAUGGUUCUUGUGCGAAUAGUGCAAGGAUUUGACGGUACCGGAAUAGAAAGCCACGGCUAACUACGUGCCAGCAGCCGCGGUAAUACGUAGGUGGCAAGCGUUGUCCGGAAUUAUUGGGCGUAAAGCGCGCGCAGGCGGAUUGGUCAGUCUGUCUUAAAAGUUCGGGGCUUAACCCCGUGCUGGGAUGGAAACUGCCAAUCUAGAGUAUCGGAGAGGAAAGUGGAAUUCCUAGUGUAGCGGUGAAAUGCGUAGAUAUUAGGAAGAACACCAGUGGCGAAGGCGACUUUCUGGACGAAAACUGACGCUGAGGCGCGAAAGCCAGGGGAGCGAACGGG
rnacentral:rRNA from 1 species